rnacentral:tRNA from 1 species
GGGGAUGUAGCUCAUUUGGUAGAGUGUUAAUCAAUGAAUAAUUAAAUGAUAAAAGGCAUGGGUUCAACUCCUCGCAUCUCCA